GGGAACUCAAAGGAGACUGCCAGUGAUAAACUGGAGGAAGGUGGGGAUGACGUCAAGUCAUCAUGGCCCUUACGAGUAGGGCUACACACGUGCUACAAUGGCAGUGACAAUGGGUUAAUCCCAAAAAAACUGUCUCAGUUCGGAUUGUUCUCUGCAACUCGAGAGCAUGAAGUCGGAAUCGCUAGUAAUCGCGUAACAGCAUGACGCGGUGAAUACGUUCCCGGGCCUUGUACACACCGCCCGUCACACCAUGGGAGUGGGUUGCAAAAGAAGUAGGUAGCUUAACCUUCGGGAGGGCGCUUACCACUUUGUGAUUCAUGACUGGGGUGAAGUCGGAACAAGGUAACCGUAG
rnacentral:rRNA from 15 species